CCUACGGGGGCAGCAGUGGGGAAUAUUGGGCAAUGGGCGCAAGCCUGACCCAGCAACGCCGCGUGAAGGGAGAAGGCUUUCGGGUUGUAAACUUCUUUUGUCAGGGACGAAGCAAGUGACGGUACCUGACGAAUAAGCCACGGCUAACUACGUGCCAGCAGCCGCGGUAAUACGUAGGUGGCAAGCGUUAUCCGGAUUUACUGGGUGUAAAGGGCGGGGAGGCGGGACUGCAAGUCAGAUGUGAAAACCACGGGCUCAACCUGUGGCCUGCAUUUGAAACUGGAGGUCUUGAGUACUGGAGAGGCAGACAGAAUUCCAGGUGUAGCGGUGAAAUGCGUAGAUAUUAGGAGGAACACCAGUGGCGAAGGCGGUCCGCUGGACAGCAACUGACGCUGAGGUGCGAAAGCGUGGGGAGCAAACAGGAUUAGAUACCCUUGUAGUC
rnacentral:rRNA from 1 species